UGUCUCCCUCCCUGCCUGUGCUGGGUGUUAGCAAAGCUUUUGGGAUGCGGCCCUAGGUUGCUGGGCCUCUGCUCAGAGUUGGGCAGUUGUUCACUACAGCAGGGCGCCCUGCUGGGGUCUGAAAUCCAGCCCUGCUCUGCGCCCCGGCCUAAAGGGCCCUCCCCGUGCCUGGACCACCGCCCAGGCCUCCUAACAGAGGCCUACUUCUCUUGCGCCCUCCCUGCGGCAGCCAGAGGCAUCGUUUUGUGUUCUCGGGCUUACAGUUUCCCGCCGCUCUUAGAAUAAAAGCCACAUCUGCUGCAUCUUCUGACCCGGCCUGCCUCUCCGUCCUCGCCUCCCAGGCCUCUUCCCCUGGGCUCGCCCUGCUCCUGCCACACGGCUCCUCUCCCUUCCAGAAGAUACCAGGACUUUCUGGAAGGCUCUGGGUCCCUGAUGUAAUAAAAUAUUCUUCACCGCGCGCUUUCUAGCCCCUCGUGCACGUUCACUGGAUGCUCAGCAAGGCUUUCCCUAGCUUGUCUUUGUCAAGCAGCUCCCAGUUACUCCGGUUUCCUUCCCUGUGAGCUGGGUCCCUGAAGGCAGGGCCGUAACCGGGACGGCGCUGGCGCGUCCCAGAUGCUGGUCCUCACUGGCGCAGAGGGGUGAGCGCCAGCCCCGGGCUUCCCAGCCGGUCCCCCCACUUUCCCCAGGACAGGCGCAGCCCCGCGGGCGGUCCAGGGCCCGGGAGCCGGGCGCGGUCGCCCCCUCCUGGCGGAGCUCCGCCGGCCCCCACUCCCCGCUAGGGGGAGGCAGAGAAGCCACCGGGCCGGCUCUUCCCGACGCUUGGAUACCAGCACCAGGCCAUCGUGCCGCUAUCGUGCUGCUGUUGGACAAACUCGACUCUGACUGCCCAGCCAUUUGCCAUCUGCGAUACCGCUCUGAAGCUCCUGGCUUGGUGUUGAGUUCCUGAAAUAGAGGCAGAUACUAUUAUCAUCAUCCUAAUUAUACAGAUGAGGAAAUUGAGGCCAAAAAAAGAAGGAACUUGCCCAAAGUCACACAGCUGGUAAAUGGCAGAGCCUGGAUUCAGACCUAGGUAAUCUGGUUUCAAAGCCUCCCUUUUCCAUAUUUCAAUACAAUUAUGAUUUAUUCUUUUUUUCCGUAUGUCUAUGUUGUCAUUUUCAGUGAUGUCUGAGAAGUCUGGAAAAGUGCGUGUGUGAGGGCCAUCAUUUUGUCAUGAAAACUCGCUGUUUUCGCUACACCAGUAUUGUUUUCACACCACACAAUUUUAAUUGGUAGAAACGUCUUUUAGAGAAGAUGCAGAGUCUAGCAAAGGAAUCUAGUGGCAGAAAACAAGCCCUAUGCAACUGUGCUCAAUCAGCAUCAAUGGAGAUAACGUGUAGGAUUCCUAAAAUGAGAGGCUUGA